AAGCAAGUGGCGAAAUUGGAAGACGCUCGGCUAAGAGUGGCUGAAUUAGGAUACGUUCGAGUCGUACGUUCGCUUUGGUUUGCGACUAAAUGCAGGUUCGAGUCCUGCCUUGCUUUCA
rnacentral:tRNA from 1 species